GGGGUGGGAGUGGAAGAAAGAGAAGUUGUUGCUUGAUUCGCUCUGCAAAGGUGGGAAGACUGAGGCUGAAAAUGACUUGGCCCAGACCAGCAUGAGGGACAAAAUAAUGUAGAGUUGUUGAGGCACAUCUGAACUGCUGAGGGUCAAUGGAGGGGGCAUCCUCAUCUGCCUGAUAAAGAUUACAGCAUAUUUACA